UACGUAGGGUGCGAGCGUUAAUCGGAAUUACUGGGCGUAAAGGGUGCGUAGGCGGUUUGAUAAGUCUGAUGUGAAAUCCCCGGGCUCAACCUGGGAACGGCAUUGGAGACUGUCAAGCUAGAGUGCGUCAGAGGGGGGUAGAAUUCCACGUGUAGCAGUGAAAUGCGUAGAGAUGUGGAGGAAUACCGAUGGCGAAGGCAGCCUCCUGGGCCAAUACUGACGCUCAUGCACGAAAGCGUGGGGAGCAAACAGG
rnacentral:rRNA from 1 species